rnacentral:misc_RNA from 1 species
GAUGAAGAACGUAGCGAAAUGCGAUACGUAAUGUGAAUUGCAGAAUUCAGUGAAUCAUCGAGUCUUUGAACGCACAUUGCGCCCCCUGGUAUUCCGGGGAGCAUGCCUGUUCGAGCGUCAUUACAACCCUCAAGCUCUGCUUGGUGUUGGGCCCCGCCGCCCCGGCGGGCCCUAAAGUCAGUGGCGGUGCCGUCCGGCUCCGAGCGUAGUAAUUUUUCUCGCUUUGGAGGCCCGGGCGCGUGCUCGCCAUCAACCCCCAAUUUUUUUCAGGUUGACCUCGGAUCAGGUAGGGAUACCCGCUGAACUUAAGCAUAUCAAUAAGCGGAGGA